rnacentral:rRNA from 1 species
UACGAACUGUGCGAACGUUAUUCGGAAUCACUGGGCUUACAGGGUGCGUAGGCGGCUCAACAAGUCAGGUGUGAAAGCCCCCGGCUCAACCGGGGAACUGCGCUUGAAACUGUUAGGCUCGAGUCAGCUAGAGGUACACGGAACUUCCAGUGGAGCGGUGAAAUGUGUUGAUAUUGGAAGGAACACCGGAGGCGAAAGCGGUGCACUGGGGUUGGUCUGACGCUGAGGCACGAAAGCCAGGGGAGCGAACGGG